GAUGGGUGACCUCCUGGGAAAGUCCUCGUGUUGCACCCCU
rnacentral:rRNA from 1 species